GCGCAUGCGCACUUUGCCCUCGGGGGCGGGCCUUUGUGCCGGUGCCUGGGGGCGUUCGGCCUUCGCAGAGCAGGUCGCGGGGUCAGGAGCGGGGUGUGGCUUGGCUUUAGUAUUUGCCCUGGAGACCUAAUAUUUGCGCAGGUUUCGCGAAGGGACAGUCUCCUACGAGGAUAUUAGUAGCAGUGUUUUUUAAACUGAAGAAAGUCAAGAAGAGGUAGGAGAUAAAUGCAGUAAGGAUGCUGAUACUCUUAAUGGAACUGAAAUCUAACAAGAGCACAGGCUCCGGACGCGCAGGCUCAGUGGCCAUGGCUCACGGGCCCAGCCGCUCCGCGGCACGUGGGAUCUUCCCGGACCCGUGUCCCCUGCAUCGGCAGGCGGUCUCUCAACGACUGCGCCACCAGGGAAGCCCUAAGUGUUCUCAGGCAACCUCCGGAGGAAUCCAGCACAUGCGGAAUAUCUCCAGCCACCCCACAGCACAUCCCCAGAGCUUCAGCUCAAGAGGUACUGCCAUUCCUGCAGGGAACCUCAGCACAGUGUGGAACAGGUGGGGUUGCUUCUGAAGACUCCAGAGCUCCAAAGAACUUGCCUGAACCUCUUAGUCCUGCUUCCCAAAAGAAAAAUGAAUUCUAUCUUCGUUCUUUUCUUUCUAAUUUCCAAACAGUAAUAGUAUUUCAUAACACUUCCAAAUUUUACUCCCAGCAACCUGUGGCCUCAACUCCCUUCCCAGUUAUGCUGUCAGAAAGACUUAAUUAUGCUUAUUUCGCAGCAGUAAUUUUUGUGCAGUCUGACUGGCCUGUAAUGCCCCUUUGCUUGGAACUCUGAUGCUGUGAUUUUCCUCCUGAAAUCCAAAUUGUCUUUGGAAAAGACAACCGGUUUCUCACCCAAGCCAUGUCCAAACAGGUCUGGUCCCCAGACCGUAUCUGGCAUGAAAAGAGGUUCAGUGCAGUGCACAAUAGAUGACUGUAGUCUAAUUUUAGACCAGAUGGUUCUCAAGAACAUGUUUCUUCUCUGUUGACCCCGCUUCUUAUCCCCAUCAGACCACCUCCUCAGGGAGGGACCCUAACAGGCAUCAAGAACAUACAGGAAGGAACAUAGGAUUUUCCUAAAACACAUAUAUGAUCCUGCUAUCCUCCUGAUUAAGACACUUUAAUGGCUUAGUACACUCUGCAAGAUGAAGUCCAAACUCUUUAAUCAUGCAACAAAGCCCUCCUUGUUGGGACUCUUUCCUACCUCCCCAGCCUCCUCCCCUGCCACACCUCUUACCAUGCUGCAAUGGCACCAACAUCUCUGCAGUUUUUUCUGAAAACACCAGAUGGGUUCAGGCGUGUGAUCUCUAUACCAAAAUGGCUAGUUCUCCUAUCCUCAUCUCUGUUCACCUUGCCAAUGCGUACUCAAACAAAGUCUCACCUGAACCCCCCAAAUGGAAUUGUCCACUCUUUCCUUUGUGACUCCCAAUACUGUCCACCCCUCCAGCACAAAGCUUGUAACAUGUUGCUGUACUUUUUGUUUACAUGGCUAAACAAAAGGCACCUGGGGGCAAGGACUAUGUCUUAGCUAUCAUUGACCCUCCUUUGCCUAUCAAGAUGUCUGGUGCAUGAAUAAGCAUUUUGUUUGUUGAUGAAGGAAGGAAGAAUAGACGGGUAUUACAGAUGUAGAGUGAAGCCCCAAUCUUAAUCAACUUACCAUUCUCCUCCUUAUCUUAUUUGGAGAUAUUUAGAAAUCUAAACAUGAGGGACGUUCUGGGACGUUUUGGUGGCCGGGAAGGUAGAGCAAACCAGAUGGACCUAGAGUAAAGAAACAAGUCUCUGAUGCUUAAGGAGAAGUGAACAAAGGGAUCUUCAAAUAUCCUUUUAGAUUUCCCAGCUUAGCCCAGCAGGGAAGGACAGGAAAGGAGGCAGGAUUCAGGGUAAAAGCCUCUCUCUGGAAUAAGUUUCCAUGUGACUGGAGUAUUUCUCGUACUGUUUCUUAUGAAAGCAUGAUGCAAAGAGCGAUAAAGUGAGAACUCAAACUUUAUUCCCUUUAAAGCUAGAAAGAGAGGUUCCUGGAUCAUUACUUGGGCCCACAGUUUUUUAAUGACUCAGGAAAAUGCUGCAGAAUCUGAAAUUAUUGGGAUGAUUUAUCUUUGAUUUAUAGAAUCUAGGGAAGACUUCUCUCACAGGCUUGAUCCUUUAGAAAAGGAUUAUACUUCAUAUGGAACAGACUUAAUAAUUGGGGUUAUAGUACCAGUGAUUUUAAAAAAAGAGUACAGGCUCCAUCUCCAGUAAUAUCUGAGUAUUUAUUAACAGACCAACCUAUGUGCACACGCGUGCAUACACACACACUCAUACACAUGUGCACACAAACACACACACUUGUCAAAAUGUGUUUUAGGGCUUCCCUGGUGGCUCAGUGGUUGUGCGUCCGCCUGCCGAUGCAGGGGAACCGGGUUCGCGCCCCGGUCCGGGAAGAUCCCACAUGCCGCGGAGCGGCUGGGCCCGUGAGCCGUGGCCGCUGAGCCUGCGCGUCCGGAGCCUGUGCUCCGCAACGGGAGAGGCCGCAGCAGAGGGAGGCCCGCAUACCACAAAAAAAAAAAAAAAAAAAAAAAUGUGUUUUAAAAAAAUGCUAUCUAAAGACAUUGGAGAGCUAUUAUAAGCAAGAAGCUACUGGAGAGAGUUAAUACAUGGUAGAAGAGUUUCCAGAUUUUAUAGUUUUCAGACUUUAGUCUGCACCAGGCAGAGUGGCUAAAACUCCAGUAUGAAACCCACAGUCUUACUGGAGAAGAACCAGAAUAUGGGGCAAGCACAGCAGUAAAAAGUUAAGGGGAAUUCCCAAAAGGGCAGAGACCAAGAGGGGGAACCCCAACUGCCUACAGCUCUGACUGAACUUUGAACCACACUUACACAGGGCAGACACCAAGCCACCUAGUAAAGCUAGAAGAGCUGAAAUGAGAUUUGAGCGGUUACCCUUAACAUGGGAAACAUUAAAAGGACAGUAAGGGGCUUCCCUGGUGGCGCAGUGGUUGAGAGUCCGCCUGCCGAUGCAGGGGACACGGGUUCGUGCCCCGGUCCGGGAGGAUCCCACAUGCCACGGAGCGGCUGGGCCCGUGAGCCAUGGCCGCUGGGCCUGCGCGUCCGGAGCCUGUGCUCCACAACGGGA